AUAAUAAUUUUUAGCAUGUUUAAGGAUUUUUCAAACUUUUUUCAUCCCUGUCCAGUUGAGAAUGAUGUUGUUAUUAAAGAUUUUUAUUUGCGUUCCGAUCUGCUUCCAUUUCCCAUUCCAACUGGGGAUUAUUUGUUGAUUGCCAGCUGGAAUUUCAAUAAGAAACCGCGAAUGUCUAAGCCCCAACUGAUUACUAAGCAUUAUUUUGCAUUUGUGGAUGAUGUGUAAAAACUGUUAAAUAUAUCAGCAAUUGUAACUUCCA